GCCAGGAAUGGUGACGCACACCUGUAAUCCCAGCAACUUGGGAGGCUGAGGCAGGAAGUUCGCAAGUUCAAAGCCAGCCUCAG
rnacentral:sRNA from 1 species